UACGGAGGGGGCGAGCGUUGUUCGGAAUCAUUGGGCGUAAAGGGCGCGUAGGCGGCCUUGUAAGUCAGAUGUGAAAGCCCUUGGCUUAACCAAGGAAUUGCAUCUGAAACUGCGAGGCUUGAGUCCGGGAAGGGAGAGUGGAAUUCCCAGUGUAGCGGUGAAAUGCGUAGAUAUUGGGAGGAACACCGGUGGCGAAGGCGGCUCUCUGGACCGGUACUGACGCUGAUGCGCGAAAGCUAGGGGAGCAAACGGG
rnacentral:rRNA from 1 species